AGAUGGUGGUGUAGGUGAGGCUGGGUCUAGUCAGGUUAUAGAUGGUGGUGGUGUAGAUAAGGCUGGGUCUAGUCAGGUUAUAGAUGGUGGUGUAGAUGAGGCUGGGUCUAGUCAGGUUAUAGAUGGUGGUAUAGAUGAGGCUGGGUCUAGUCAGGUUAUAGAUGGUGGUGGUGUAGAUGAGGCUGGGUCUAGUCAGGUUAUAGAUGGUGGUGGUGUAGAUGAGGCUGGGUCUAGUCAGGCUAUAGAUGGUGGUGUAGAUGAGGCUGGGUCUAGUCAGGUUAUAGAUGGUGGUGUAGACGAGGCUGGGUCUAGUCAGGUUAUAGAUGGUGGUGUAGAUGAGGCUGGGUCUAGUCAGGUUAUAGAUGGUGGUGUAGAUGAGGCUGGGUCUAGUCAGGUUAUAGAUGGUGGUGGUGUAGAUGAGGCUGGGCCUAGUCAGGUUAUAGAUGGUGGUGUAGAUGAGACUGGGUCUAGUCAGGUUAUAGAUGGUGGUGUAGAUGAGGCUGGGUCUAGUCAGGUUAUAGAUAGUGGUGUAGAUGAGGCUGGGUCUAGUCAGGUUAUAGAUGGUGGUGGUGUAGAUGAUGCUGGGUCUAGUCAGGUUAUAGAUGGUGGUGUAGAUGAGGCUGGGUCUAGUCAGGUUAUAGAUGGUGGUGUAGAUGAGGCUGGGUCUAGUCAGGUUAUAGAUGGUGGUGGUGUAGAUGAGGCUGGGUCUAGUGAGGUUAUAGAUGAUGGUGGUGUAGAUGAGGCUGGGUCUAGUCAGGUUAUAGAUGGUGGUGUAGAUGAGGCUGUGUCUAGUCAGGUUAUAGAUGGUGGUGUAGAUGAGGCUGGGUCUAGUCAGGCUAUAGAUGGUGGUGUAGAUGAGGCUGGGUCUAGUCAGGUUAUAGAUGGUGGUGUAGAUGAGGCUGGGUCUAGUCAGGCUAUAGAUGGUGGUGUAGAUGAGGCUGGGUCUAGUCAGGUUAUAGAUGGUGGUGUAGAUGAGGC
rnacentral:lncRNA from 1 species